rnacentral:pre_miRNA from 1 species
AGAUGUAUUCUUGGCACGAGAACCCAACAAUCGACUCUCUAUCGAUUUCAAAUCUCGGCUAAAAUUGCAUCGCUU